CAGGGACUCCUCCCUUUUCAUGACCCAAAGGAGCAGGACCAAGUAUGUGAGGAGUUCAUGGAAUACCAACUAAUGAACAUCACCAUGCCUGAAGACCCAACAGCCUUUGAUGUUGAGGAGUUUUGGGGAAGAAUGGCCUCAACAAAGAACAAGGUGACUGGCCUGAACCAAUUUGGGAGGCUAUCCAAGAUUGCAACAUUGGUUCUAGUGCUACCCCAUUCUAAUGCUGAUGCAGAGAGGGUGUUUUCCAUGGUUGGCUUGGAUGAAACAUCAACCCGAGACAGCAUGGCUCUGGAUGGGACAUUGUCAUCCAUUAUGACCCUGAAAAUGGCUGGCAUUGAGCCAAACUGCUCCAAAUGGGAACCAACACCAAAGAUGAUAGAAGAGUCCAAAAAGGCAACAAACACCUACAAUGAAUAAUAAAAACCAGUUUGAUGAAGAAAUAUCAUGAUAAUUGUUAAGUUAGG